CAUUUUUAGCAGGGGUUGGGGGAGGGGGUGGGAAGUGAUAAGUGAGACUGGAGGGAAGGCCAAAGGAUUUGAAGGACAGAAAAGCACAUAUCCUUCCUAGACCUCCCCUGGCUCCAGGAUGGAAAAUGACUUGGCAGGGGCCCUUUUUGUGCAGGCCAGAAGGGAAUUUAUUUCCCAGCUGUUCUGUUGUAUUUUCCUUGUUAGUCUUUGCUCCCACGGUCUAAGAGCAAAUACCGGAUCUUAGCGCCUACAGUACUGGUCAAGAGCUGCCACUUCAGUCAGUGUGACUCACAGCUGUCCGUGAACCACCUACUGUAACAGCUGGCUAGACACCACAGCCCUGCGGCCCUGCAGCCCAGCCACGUCUUUUUAGCUUCACCUCGACGGCCUUGCUCUUGACCUGAAAUCACCAUCACCUUAAUGGGCUAGAAAAGGUUUCCCCACUGCGAGCCCUUCGAGAACAAUGUCAUGUUGAUCGAUGGCAGUGACUCACACCAGAUCUUUCCAUGCCUCCUCUGCAAGGACUCAAGAGAGUCGAGAGCAAAACCGUGCCAUAGUUCCAUAAGGAGGGCAAAGAGCUUUAUCCACGCUGAGGAACAGGCGGAUCAUGCGGCUACAGCACUGGUCUUUACCUUUUAACUGCUUGAUUCGAAACAUUCCAGCCAGGAACAGUGGCUCACACCUGUAAUCCCAGCACUUUGUGGGGCCAAGGCAGGUGGAUUGCUCGAGCUCAGGAGUUCGAAACCAGCCUGGGCAACCUGGCAAAACCUCAUCUCUACAAAAAAAUACAAAAAUUAGCCAGGCCUGGUGUGUGUGCCUGUGGUUCCAGCCACUCGGCAGGCUGCGGCCAGAGGAUCACUUGAGCCCAGGAAGUGGAGGCUGCAGUGAGCUGAGAUCGUGCCGCCACACUCCAGCCUGGGUGACAGAGCCAGACAUUGUCUCUAAAAAAAAAAAAAAAAGAAAAGAAAAGAAAGAAAAAAGAGAAAUAGUCCAAGACUAGGGAGAAAACCUUCUUUGGGGUCAGUGUGAACCAUUCUUUCAUUUGUUCAGCAAAUGCUUACUGAGGAGCUACUGUGUCCCUGAAAUUGCCUCCACCUCCAAGAAGACAGUGGUGAGCAAGUCAGACAAUACCUCUAAUCUCAUGGUAUUUAUAAGUAAAUGGGCCGUUAAAAUUACCAGAUCAGAAGUGCUGUGUUCAGCAAAUAGAGGCUCAUGGGAAACUCCUAAGAAGGGCUUCUGAGCUGGACUUGGGGGUCAGGAAAGGCAGAAUGAGGGGGCUGACUCAUCCAGACUGGGGCGGGGUUGCCGGGGGUGCCUCCCACUUACUAUCUGUCUCCUUCUAGACUGACUUCUCUGUCAUCAUGAAUACACCCCUUUAAGACAUACAUUUAAGAGAAAAUAAGAGGAUGCCUUA
rnacentral:lncRNA from 1 species